UGGGGAAUAUUGGACAAUGGGCGAAAGCCUGAUCCAGCCAUGCCGCGUGUGUGAAGAAGGUCUUCGGAUUGUAAAGCACUUUAAGUUGGGAGGAAGGGCAGUAAGCGAAUACCUUGCUGUUUUGACGUUACCGACAGAAUAAGCACCGGCUAACUCUGUGCCAGCAGCCGCGGUAAUACAGAGGGUGCGAGCGUUAAUCGGAUUUACUGGGCGUAAAGCGUGCGUAGGCGGCUAAUUGAGUCGGAUGUGAAAUCCCCGAGCUUAACUUGGGAGUUGCAUUCGAUACUGGUUAGCUAGAGUGUGGGAGAGGGUGGUAGAAGUCCAGGUGUAGCGGUGAAAUGCGUAGAGAUCUGGAGGAAUACCGAUGGCGAAGGCAGCCAUCUGGCCUAACACUGACGCUGAGGUACGAAAGCAUGGGGAGCAAACAGG
rnacentral:rRNA from 1 species